rnacentral:rRNA from 1 species
UCCUGGCUCACGAUGAACGCUGGCGGCGUGCCUAAUAACGUUAAAUCGAACGCGCAGCGAGAGGUGCUUGCACCUUUCAACUUUAAAAAGAACGGGUGAGUAACACGUGGAUAACCUGCCUCAAGGCUGGGGAUAACAUUUGGAAACAGAUGCNNNNACCGAAUAAAACUUAGUAUCGCAUGAUAUCAAGUUAAAAGGCGCUACGGCGUCACCUAGAGAUGGAUCCGCGGUGCAUUAGUUAGUUGGUGGGGUAAAGGCUUACCAAGACAAUGAUGCAUAGCCGAGUUGAGAGACUGAUCGGCCACAUUGGGACUGAGACACGGCCCAAACUCCUACGGGAGGCUGCAGUAGGGAAUCUUCCACAAUGGGCGCAAGCCUGAUGGAGCAACGCCGCGUGUGUGAUGAAGGCUUUCGGGUCGUAAAGCACUGUUGUAUGGGAAGAAAUGCUAAAAUAGGGAAUGAUUUUAGUUUGACGGUACCAUACCACAAAGGGACGGCUAAAUACGUGCCAACAGCCGCGGUAAUACGUAUGUACCGAGCGUUAUCCGGAUUGAUUGGGCGUAAAGCGAGCGCACACGGUUGAUUAAGUGUGAUGUGAAAGCCCGGAGCGCAACUCCGGAAUG